rfam:Mesocricetus auratus contig098288, whole genome shotgun sequence.
GCAGGGCACAGUGGCGCACGCCUGUAGUCCCAGCUACUCGGGAGGCUGAGGCAGGAGGACCACUUGAGUCCAGGAGUUCUGGGCUGUAGUGCGCUAUGCUGAUCCGGUGUCUGCACUAAGUUCGGCAUCAUUAUGGUUACCUCCUAGAAGCGGGGGACCACCAGGUGAACCGGCCCAGGUCAGAAACCGUGCAGGUCAAAAUUCCUAUGCUGAUCAGUAGUGGGAUCGCACCUGUGAAUAGCCAUAGCCGCUGCACUCCAGCCUGGGAAACGUAUUGAGACUCGGUUUUUA